rnacentral:rRNA from 1 species
UGGGGAAUAUUGCACAAUGGGCGAAAGCCUGAUGCAGCAACGCCGCGUGAGGGACGACGGCCUUCGGGUUGUAAACCUCUUUAGCAAGGAAGAAGCGAAAGUGACGGUACUUGCAGAAAAAGCGCCGGCUAACUACGUGCCAGCAGCCGCGGUAAUACGUAGGGCGCAAGCGUUAUCCGGAAUUAUUGGGCGUAAAGAGCUCGUAGGCGGUUUGNCGCGUCUGCUGUGAAAACCCGAGGCUCAACCUCGGGCCUGCAGUGGGUACGGGCAGACUAGAGUGCGGUAGGGGAGAUUGGAACUCCUGGUGUAGCGGUGGAAUGCGCAGAUAUCAGGAAGAACACCGAUGGCGAAGGCAGAUCUCUGGGCCGUAACUGACGCUGAGGAGCGAAAACGGGUGGGGAGCAAAACAGGCUUAGAUACCCUGGUAGUCCACCCCGCUAAAACGUUGGAACUAGUUGUGGGGUCCAUUCCAACGGAUUCCGUGACGCAGCUAACGCAUUAAGUUCCCCGCCUGGGGAGUACGGCCGCAAGGCUAAAACUGCAAAUG